rnacentral:tRNA from 1 species
GGGCUGUUAGCUCAGCUGGUAGAGCAGCGGACUCUUAAUCCGUAGGUCGAGUGUUCGAGCCACUCACAGCCCA